GAUGAAGAACGCAGCGAAAUGCGAUAAGUAAUGUGAAUUGCAGAAUUCAGUGAAUCAUCGAAUCUUUGAACGCACAUUGCGCCCCUUGGUAUUCCGAGGGGCAUGCCUGUUCGAGCGUCAUUAUAACCCUCAAGCUCAGCUUGGUGUUGGGGCCUGCUGCACUGGCAGCCCUUAAAAUUAGUGGCGGCGCCAUCUGGCUCUAAGCGUAGUAAUUCUUCUCGCUAUGGAGUCCUGGUGGAUGCUUGCCAUCAACCCCCAAUUUUUCUAUGGUUGACCUCGGAUCAGGUAGGGAUACCCGCUGAACUUAAGCAUAUCAAUAAGCGGAGGA
rnacentral:misc_RNA from 1 species